CCAUAUUACCACUAGACAAAACCAAGUGGGGAACAGGGUAAGGAGGGAUAGUUACUAAAUAAUGCCAGUUCUCGAGUAAUUAAGAGAAUGGAAAGGGUAAAGAAAAAACAAAUAGGGGUGGUGAGUAUAUGUGUGUGUGUGUGUGUGUGUGUGUGUGUGUGUG